rnacentral:rRNA from 1 species
GAAGUCGGGUAGACCUGAAGCCGGUAACCGCAAGGAGCCGUUUAGGGUAGAACCGGUAACUGGGGCUAAGUCGUAACAAGGUAGCCGUACCGGAAGGUGCGGCUGGAACACCUCCUUU